GCGCCGGUGGUGCAAUGGCGUAGAACAUUCCCUUGGUCAGCUGGAGGUGCGGGUUCAAGUCCCGCCUGGCGCU
rnacentral:tRNA from 1 species